rnacentral:rRNA from 1 species
GAUGGACGCUGGCGGCGUGCCUAAUACAUGCAAGUCGAGCGAACAGACGAGGAGCUUGCUCCUCUGACGUUAGCGGCGGACGGGUGAGUAACACGUGGAUAACCUACCUAUAAGACUGGGAUAACUUCGGGAAACCGGAGCUAAUACCGGAUAAUAUAUUGAACCGCAUGGUUCAUUAUUGAAAGACGGUUUUGCUGUCACUUAUAGAUGGAUCCCCGCCGCAUUAGCUAGUUGGUAAGGUAACGGCUUACCAAGGCAACGAUGCGUAGCCGACCUGAGAGGGUGAUCGGCCACACUGGAACUGGAACACGGUCCAGACUCCUACGGGAGGCAGCAGUAGGGAAUCUUCCGCAAUGGGCGAAAGCCUGACGGAGCAACGCCGCGUGAGUGAUGAAGGUCUUCGGAUCGUAAAACUCUGUUAUUAGGGAAGAACAAAUGUGUAAGUAAAUAUGCACGUCUUGACGGUACCUAAUCAGAAAGCCACGGCUAACUACGUG